rnacentral:rRNA from 1 species
UACGAAGGGGGCUAGCGUUGCUCGGAAUCACUGGGCGUAAAGGGUGCGUAGGUGGCGCGGUAAGUCGGGUGUGAAAUUUCGGAGCUUAACUCCGAAACUGCAUUCGAUACUGCCGUGCUUGAGGACUGGAGAGGAGACUGGAAUUUACGGUGUAGCAGUGAAAUGCGUAGAUAUCGUAAGGAAGACCAGUGGCGAAGGCGGGUCUCUGGACAGUUCCUGACACUGAGGCACGAAGGCCAGGGGAGCAAACGGG